UUAUUCCCACGCUCACCUCGCUCCACUACACCGCGGGGGGGGCCCGAGCCCGGGCGCUCCAACCACCGCCUACCAGCCGCGUCCCGCCGCCAUGGCCGCCGCAGGGGAGUUCUGUGCAGUUCUUCUGACAAGUGCAAGAUGGGCAGUGGGAAUGAGACCUGUAAUGAAUCCACUGGAUGCACAGUGCAAGCAGAAGCGCUACUCUGGGAUGAAGAAGCUCUGCAGUCUCUGUGAGUUUUGCUCUGCAGGUGCUGGAGCGAUGAGGUUUCCAUAUCCAAAGGAUCCAUCCAGGAGUCCUGGACACAGAGUUACCUGAGCAAAGCUGCUGCUGGCCAUCCCAAACCCCAGGGAAAGAAAGUGUAUGUGUUCUUCAGAUCUCCUUGGAUAAAAUUUCCUGGAAGGAACAAGAGAAUAAAAGGAAAUC